rnacentral:tRNA from 1 species
AGAAAUUUAGGUUAACCUACUAAACCAAGGACCUUCAAAGCCCUAAACAUGAGAUCAAACCCUCCUAAUUUCUG